rnacentral:rRNA from 2 species
GCAUAUCAAUAAGCGGAGGAAAAGAAACCAACUGGGAUUGCCUUAGUAACGGCGAGUGAAGCGGCAAUAGCUCAAAUUUGAAAGCUGGCCCCUUUGGGGUCCGCGUUGUAAUUUGUAGAGGAUGAUUCGGCGAGGGCUCCCGUCUAAGUCCCCUGGAACGGGGCGUCAUAGAGGGUGAGAAUCCCGUAUGUGAUGGGUUGCCUUAGCCAUGUGAAUCUCCUUCGACGAGUCGAGUUGUUUGGGAAUGCAGCUCUAAAUGGGAGGUAAAUUUCUUCUAAAGCUAAAUACCGGCCAGAGACCGAUAGCGCACAAGUAGAGUGAUCGAAAGAUGAAAAGCACUUUGGAAAGAGAGUUAAAAAGUACGUGAAAUUGUUGAAAGGGAAGCGCUUGCAGCCAGACUUGUCCGCAGUUGCUCAGCCGGUCUCCUGACCGGCGUACUCUUCUGCGGCCAGGCCAGCAUCAGUUCGGGCGGUCGGAUAAAGGCCCCAGGAAUGUAGCUCCUCUCGGGGAGUGUUAUAGCCUGGGGUGGAAUGCGACCAGCCUGGACUGAGGAUCUCGCUUCGGCUAGGAUGCUGGCGUAAUGGCUGUAAGCGGCCCGUCUUGAAACACGGACC